CCCUAGUCUCCCAGUGUCCCCUAGUAUAAAAGAAGAAAACUCAGGCACUCACUGUGAUAGAUUUAAGCAGGUUUAUUGGACACUGCAACGUUUUGACCUGUACACAGGUCUUUAUCAAGUUUCCAGUGUCCCCUAUAUAUCACAAUGUCCCCUAUGUAUCACAGUGUCUCAGUGCCACAUGUCUCCCAGUGUGCCUGGUGUCUCUCAGUGUCCGUAGUGUCUCAGUACCCCCUAACCUCCCAGAGUCCCCAUGUCUUACAGUGCCGCCAAGUGUCU